CCCGGGGUAACCUUGAUCUUGGCGUGGUUUUGAAGGUUGAUUGGUAGUGUGGCAAGAUAGGGUGUCCAGUGCAGAUGUAGCUAACAGAUGUGGAGUAGAGGACUCGGAAACAGUGCUCAGAAGGGAAAGACUCCGAUGGUUUGGACAUGUAAAGAGAGCAGGGGAGGAUACAGUGCUGGGAGCAGGGCCGGCCCGACGCAUAAGCGAAGUAAGCGGUGGCUUAGGGCCCCGAGGCCACAAGGGGGCCCCCAAGAGCAAUAAAAAAUAUAUUGUAGCCUAUUUGUUAUUUUUCGCCCAUGUACAAAUAGUGAUUUCUAUAUGAUCAAAGAUAUAUUAUUGUACAAAGAGACAAUUUCAAUAGAGUGCUGGUGGUGGCACCACCCUCUAAUAUUCUUCCAUGGGACCCAAACAACCAGUGUGCAAAGUUUGUUGCUUUAAUCCAGCGUGUCACUUUUUUUUUCGCUAAGCCACCGCCCACCGGACUAUAAGGCUUCGCUGCACCGGCGCUUCCUGCCCAGAAAAACAACAACAAACACGUGCAACUGACGGUUCCCGACAUGCAGUGUGCCCUGCGCAUCCUUAACAUAGGUUGUUAGGCUAACGAUGUCACAAAAAAGGACAUAUCCCUCAGGGGCAGAGAAAAGAAAAAGGAAGAAAGAGGAAGAGGAGAAAAAAUGUCGAGAUAAAGGAGCACUGUUAAAGUAUUUUGGAGGCACAGAAGCAGCCCAGUGGCAGUCAGCAUCCUCAGGCUCAACUGUAUGCAAUCCAUCAGAGCUUGCACCCCCAUCUUGUGUGCCCAGUGUCCCCUCCGUGUCUGCAACCACGGAUGAUCUACCUGGUCCAUCUACAUCCUCUACAGAGCUCACACCCCCAUCUUGUGUGCCCACUGUCCCCUCUGUGUCUGCAACUACAGACGAUCUACCUGGUAAGUUAACAGCAAAUCACCCGUUAUAUAAUUAUAAAAUUUCUGCAGCAAAUCUUAAUUGUUCCAUUGGCAGAGACUAGAGAGCUUUAUUUUAUAACACCUGUAGGGAUUUUUAAAACUUUUAAUAGAAAAAUAAGCAAUAUCAUUUCCAAGAGUAAUAUGACACCUAACAUGGCAUUGAUGGCAAGCUUUUGUUGCUGUUUUGUAUCUUAGGUCCAUCUACAUCCUCUACAGAGCUCACACCCCCAGCUUGUGUGCCCACUGUCCCCUCUGUGUCUGCAACUACAGAUGAUCUACCUGCAACCUCCACCACAACGUCCACUUCUCACCACGGAUCAUCAUCAGCUCCACCAGUGGACCCAGCUGAGUGGCCUUCUUUUCUGUCAGAUUCAGACCGGACUGAGCAGGUGAUCAUGGGGCCACUGCCUAUUAAGGAGAGCUUUUCAUUCCCUAAAAGAUAUGAUGGCCGAAGUUUCCAUUAUCAUUAUACCAACAGACAAUUAGUUAAUGGGGAAAAAGUGAAGCGUAGCUGGCUGACUUAUUCAAGAAGUAAAGAUGCAGUCUACUGCUUUUGCUGUAAACUAUUUUCUAAGAAGUCCAUAAAAUUGGCAACUGAUGGACAGCAGGAUUGGGUAAACAUAGGCGCACUCCUCAAACAGCAUGAAAAGUCUGAAGAUCAUUGUAGUAAUAUGGUCAAAUGGAAGGAGUUUAGCUUGCGUCUUUCCAAGGGAAAAACCAUUGAUGAAACAGAAAUGGGCCUCCUCGAGGCAGAAAAAAAUCGCUGGAGAGAUGUUCUCACACGCUUAAUCAGUAUUAUCCAGUCACUGGCAGAAAGAAACCUGGCUCUGAGGGGAUCUUCUGACACUUUACACAAAGACGACAAUGGGAACUUUCUGAAAGAAGUUGAACUGUUAGCUAAAUUUGAUCCUGUAUUGAGAGAUCACGUGAGGCGCAUUGAAAGUGGAGCGGAG